rnacentral:rRNA from 1 species
GCGCACGCAGGCGGUCUGUCAAGUCGGAUGUGAAAUCCCCGGGCUCAACCUGGGAACUGCAUUCGAAACUGGCAGGCUUGAGUCUUGUAGAGGGGGGUAGAAUUCCAGGUGUAGCGGUGAAAUGCGUAGAGAUCUGGAGGAAUACCGGUGGCGAAGGCGGCCCCCUGGACAAAGACUGACGCUCAGGUGCGAAAGCGUGGGGAGCAAACAGGAUUAGAUACCCUGGUAGUCCACGCCGUAAACGAUGUCUACUUGGAGGUUGUGCCCUUGAGGCGUGGCUUCCGGAGCUAACGCGUUAAGUAGACCGCCUGGGGAGUACGGCCGCAAGGUUAAAACUCAAAUGAAUUGACGGGGGCCCGCACAAGCGGUGGAGCAUGUGGUUUAAUUCGAUGCAACGCGAAGAACCUUACCUGGUCUUGACAUCCACAGAAGAAUCCAGAGAUGGAUUUGUGCCUUCGGGAACUGUGAGACAGGUGCUGCAUGGCUGUCGUCAGCUCGUGUUGUGAAAUGUUGGGUUAAGUCCCGCAACGAGCGCAAC